UGCGAGGCGGUGAUUGGGCAUGUAGGGUUUUGGACCUUAAGGAGGGAAUUAGUUUUAUUUCCCCCUCGUAG
rnacentral:tRNA from 1 species